AGAACGAACGCUGGCGGCAGGCCUAACACAUGCAAGUCGAACGGAUGUAGCAAUACAUUAGUGGCGCACGGGAGAGUAACGCGUGGGAACCUUCCUUUUGGUUCGGAAUAACAUCGGGAAACUGGUGCUAAUACCGGAUAAGCCUUUCGAGGGAAAGAUUUAUCGCCGAAAGAUGGGCCCGCGUUGGAUUAGCUAGUUGGUGAGGUAAUGGCUCACCAAGGCACCGAUCCAUAGCUGGUCUGAGAGGAUGAUCAGCCUCACUGGGACUGAGACACGGCCCAGACUCCUACGGGAGGCAGCAGUGGGGAAUAUUGGACAAUGGGGGGCAACCCUGAUCCAGCCAUGCCGCGUGAACGAUGAAGGCCUUCGGGUUGUAAAGUUCUUUUGACGGGGACGAUGAUGACGGUACCCGUAGAAUAAGCACCGGCUAACUUCGCGCCAGCAGCCGC
rnacentral:rRNA from 1 species